AGAGUUUGAUCAUGGCUCAGGACAAACGCUGGCGGCGUGCAUAAAACAUGCAAGUCGGACGAGCCAAUCCCCGCAAGGGGAAAGGCUAGUGGCGAACGGCUGAGUAACACGUAGGUGAUCUGCCCUGAAGUGGGGGAUAACGACUCGAAAGAGUCGCUAAUACCGCAUGUGACCACCGACUCGUUUCGGUGCUCAAAGUCGCAGGACGCUUUAGGAGGAGCCUGCGGCGGAUUAGCUAGUUGGUGAGGUAAUGGCCCACCAAGGCUUCGAUCCGUAGCUGGUCUGAGAGGAUGGCCAGCCAGACUGGGACUGAGACACGGCCCAGACUCCUACGGGAGGCAGCAGUUAGGAAUUUUGCGCAAUGGGGGAAACCCUGACGCAGCCACGCCGCGUGCGGGAUGAAGGCCUUCGGGUCGUAAACCGCCUUUCUCGAGGAAGACACCCGACGGUACUCGAGGCAUAAGCAACGGCUAACUACGUGCCAGCAGCCGCGGUAAUACGUAGGUUGCGAGCGUUGUCCGGAUUUACUGGGCGUAAAGCGCGCGCAGGCGGUUCCGAAAGUCGAGCGUGAAAGCUCCUGGCCCAACUGGGAGAGGCCGUUCGAAACUUCGGGACUUGAAGGCGGGAGAGGCAGAUGGAAUUUCCGGUGUAGCGGUAAAAUGCGUAGAUACCGGAAGGAACACCAGUGGCGAAAGCGAUC
rnacentral:rRNA from 1 species